UAGAAUCCAUCACCGAUUCCUCCAUCACCUAAUUUCUCUUGACCUAAUUUCUAUCUGAAUUUCUCUUUAGAGUCUUCUCUUGACCUAAUUUGUAUCUGAAUUUCUCCAAAGACAAGAUUGAUAGCGAACCCUGGUUUGGCGUAGAUUGGAAUUACAAGGAUUACUAAAUGGGUUAGAUUGAAAUUACAAGGUUCGAAAGAACGAACAGAGAAGAAGUAGCAGUUAGCUAAAAAAUCGAAAAGGGUUUGGAGGAGAAAUCAAAAAGAACAACAAGGAUGAGUAUUUUUUGGUGACUUGGGAGUAUGGGUUCAAGUAUUCAUGGAUGCUUGCUGAUGCUCAGUGUUGUUGCUUUCAUGCUCUUGUGGAUUUAAGAGAUGAUGGAUGAUUUGAAGAUGGGUCUGGUAGAAUGAAUGAGUUGAGUUGUUAUGAGCAAUUGAUGCAGGAAUUGAAGACUAAGAUUGAAUUCGAGAUGGAUUUGAGAUUGAAGUGAGUGGAUGUUAUAUUAAAGGGGAGAUUUGGGUUAAUAACAAAUCCAACAACUGAGUGAAGAAUGAAGGGUUUACUGGCGGCUAUAAAAUUGAGAGAUGAAGAUGCAGUUGAGUACCCAGGGUUCGAUUAGUGAAGAUGAACAAGAUUGAGAUGAACUUAAUUAAUUAAUUGAAACCCUUGUUCGAUCGCUUUGCAUAUAGUGGAAUCAAAAUAAACCAUAAUUUUCUUUUGAUUGAAUGGUUGCAUGAAAUUGCAGAUGAAGAAUUAAGGUUUGGUGCCGAGAUUGAUUUGGGCAUUUGGGGUUGGUGGGCGAUUACAGAUGGGUGUUUUGUUUUAAAAGGAGUUGCUGGUGAUGUUGUGUUGCCAUUAAAGAUGCAGACGAGUGAUUCGAGUCUCAGUUCGGAAGGAAGAAGACUGUAAAUUGAUUCAGAUUGCGACUUUGAUGUAAUUUACCGAAACGAAUGAGGGUAUUUUGGAAUUAGCGAAAAAGAAAAAGAAAAAAACAAGAAUCCUGUCAUUAUUUUCUAUUCUAACUCAGCUCAUGAAUGAGAAUGAAAGUAAUAACUAGCUAAGAACUUUGGCAAAUUUAGUACCCCUAAUUCAAUUUUGAGCAGGUAAACAAUGCAGGGGACAACGGAAUAACAGUACAAGUUAGUGAGACUAUUAAAGACUUGAAGAUUCGAGAUAGUGAUGAGAAAGAUGAGACUGCCAAUCUGUGGAAGGAAGCUGUUAAGGAGACAUACGAGAGGGCACAACAAUGCAUUGAAACAAAUUACUGUGGAACCAAAAGAGUAACUGAAGCACUGCUUCCUCUUCUUCGACUUUCCAAUUCAGCAAGAGUAGUGAAUGUUUCCUCCGUAUAUGGUCAACUAAAGUUUAUCUCGAGCGAAACGAUUAAAAAGGAGCGAAGUAACGUUCAUUGCUUAACAAAUGAGAAAUUAGAUGAGCUUAUACGAAAGUUCUUGAAGGAUUUUAAGGAGGGUAUGCUGGAGACUAAUGGAUGGCCUGUCAUAGCUUCUGCAUAUAAAGUCUCCAAAGCCGCUAUUAAACGAAUGUAACAACGGGAGGAAACACUAAUUUCAAUUUUUUUGGGGAGGAAAUGCUAAUUGGCGAUCUUGGGAGGGGAGGAAACACAAAAUAGCCCAUCUUUUCUUAGAUCAGAAUUGUUGAAUGAGUCAUUCUAAGCUAAACUGAUUCUGUAUGUGUGAAAGGGAAAAUAGUCCCACAUCACUUAUAAUCCGCUUAAUUAACUUAAAUAUAAUAUGGAAGGGCCGCUCCACUCAUUGCCAAUUGGUUUUGAGUUGGAUGCCCGCAGACUUUAACAUGGUAUCAGAGCCAAGCCCCAGACCCAGACCUGCGUACGCCGGGUGUGGGACGAGUUAUUGGUCGAAGUGUUUAACCGAUAUUGUCACUUGUGCACCCAGGAUGUAGGCCAGUGCCGAUACUGACCGAGAUGUUACCCCUGAUUUAGUCACUCACCUGUGUACACCUGUUACCGAUGGAAUGGUAACUCGUAUAUAGGUCCACAUGUGAGGUCUAGUGACUGGCCUUACACGUGAGGGGGCGUGUGAAAGGACAAAUAAUUACGCAACAAUUUAAUGUAUGCUUGGGACUAGUCGUCCCACAUGUAGCCCAUAAAUCUAUUUUACCAGACUAUGAACAACUGCUUUUAUGAUUUACUCAUGAAGUUGUAACCUUUCAUACCUUCCAAACAGAAAAUGUCUUUUUCAUUUUU